rfam:Melampsora larici-populina 98AG31 unplaced genomic scaffold MELLAscaffold_217, whole genome shotgun sequence.
GGGGUGUUAGCUCAUUUGGUAGAGCGCUCGCUUCGCACGGUUGCAAUUGCGAGAGGUCCGGGGUUCGACUCCCCGAUACUCCA